CAGAUACUACGGUUGCUCUUCAACUUUUUUAUUGCCACGCUUGAUUCCACCUAAACGAAGAUUAAACAGUGGUAAACAUCACUGAAAAAUUUCUAUUUCUGAAUCUGUUGAUUCACUAAUUAUAUACUGUCAGACUCUUGGUGACAUAAAUUUGCGAAUCCAAAAGCAAAUUGAGAAGUUGUGCAAGGAGAAAAGUGCAAUAUACAAAAUGUUUAUGUCAUAAUGGACCAGAUUCAGUACAAAUAUGUCCCCACAAAAAUAAAUAAAGAUGAGGACAUCAGAUGAAUCGGAUGAUCUCGCGGGUCAUUCGAUUGCACCCCUUCUGCCAAUCUAUCUACCAGGAAACGUUUUAUCCAGAAACUGCCGUUCUGGUAAUGCAUAAUGAGGAGGAGCCCGUCUUGCUGAAACAUCGCAUUUACUUCAUGGUAGCGUUGGUCGUUUUCCAAAAUUUAAAUCAAUGCUGGGUUAACGGUAUUUUCCAAAAGAUUGUUUAGUAUGAACCCCUCAUGGUAGAUCCUUGGAUUUGUGUCGGACCAGUACCGACAAUUAUGACGAUUUCCAGUGCAAUUGAGAAAAAAUGAACAUUCAUCUGAGCAGCAAACAUUUAAAAGGUAGUUGGGAUUAUUUGAAAUUAGUUCGGACAUUAUUUCACAAAACUGUAAACGGCGGUCGUUUACAGUUUAUCAUAUUCAUUUAAUUCUUGAAGAAAUUUUAUAUGGGUGCCAUUUAUUAUGUUUUAUAAUUCUCUGUACAGUAGUCCACAAGACUCCCGUUACAUGAGAAAGUUUUCUGAUACUUGAUGUAGGGUUCAUACUAACUUCACCAAGAACACCGACUAUUAUUGCCUCAUUUCUCAUUGGAUUUUCAAUAUUCCGUUUUGUAUAUGCCACCGAACCAGUUUCUCGAAAUUUUGCCACUAACUCUAGGAUGUAACCAUGAUGUACAUAUUUAUCUGCAUGCCUCUCAAUAAACAAAGUUGCCGUUAGUCUUGCACAUUGAUUGUUUAUAAUGUAUAAUUCAGUAAUUUCCACUCUCUCCGCGAUAGAAUAAACUAUUUUUAUUGAAUCGAAAGCACAGCACAGUACAUAACUUACAACAACUUGUUUACUGAACAUAAAAUUCUGGAUUGAAAAUUUUUACUUGGCGAUGGGUAGCUCAAAUUUAAAAAACAAAGCCCUGUUGUAAAGAAAAUUUAAUGCUCUUUCAAAAGAUUUAUCACAAUACACUCAUUCCCCUUAAAAAGUUAGGGUGAAUGUCACCGCUGCGAGUUAUUUCAAAAUCUUUGACAAGCUGUCAUACUGUGAAAAGUCAAGUUAGCAAUUUCAAAUUUCGCAGUUGUAACUAGAAUAAUCACUUGAGCCCCACUCCUAUUUAAAAUUCUGAGGGUGGUUUCAACCCCUGCCAAGGGGUUAAUGUUAAGGGGUUAGAAGUAUUAAAAAAAUCGUGCCCCUUAAAUCAAAAAUCGACGGCCACCCUGU